AUAGAAGAAAAAAUCAAAGUUACACUACUAAAAAAUGUUUUUUUACGACAUAUAUUUAAAAACGGUUAUCGAUAAGUCAUCCUUAUUAAGUGGCAAUGGUCCUUUUGUAAUUAAUUGAAACUUUUCAAAGACGGGUGUGGUUAAGCCUGUCUUGGAAAUUAGAUUUUAACAUCGUUUUUAGAAAAAGUUAUCCUCCUCGAGAAAAUUGCUUCGCGUCUGUUCGUCUUCUUAAUAUUUUUUAUUUUCAACUAUUAAUUCCCUCCAUUCAUUCCAUUCCCUCGCAUUCAUUUCUCCUUGCAUUUGUUUCUCUUUCCUCUUUCUCGCGUCUUUUCCUAUUCUCCAUGUCACUCCGUCUGUUCCUUUCCCCCGCGUUCCACUCCAUGGAAAGAGCUACGCAUUUGAAUGGAAGUAUAAUCGCGUUUGGAUGGAAGCGGUGGCGGAGGGGCUAUGGGGACUUGCAGAGUACCAUGGGAAGAGAGGGGAAAUAGGGAAAGCAGUGAAGUGCCUCGAAGCCAUAUGCCAAAGCGACGUGUCAUUUUUCCCCGAGGUGUACAGCUUGCUCAGCGAGUGUUACCAUCUCGUCGGAGCUAUUCUGCCGCAGAAUCAGGUCUUGCACAAGGGACUUGAGCUCACUGCAUCCGUCGGAGAAAGAUCGAUCGUGGCACGUUUGGCGCUGUGAUUCUCGUAAACCACAAAGCGGAGAAGAAGAAGUAUGUGUUGAAGAAAAUCAGGCUUGCGCGACAGACUAAACAAUGCAGAAGAUCUGCUCAUCAAGAGAUGGCUCUUAUUGCUUGAAUUCAACAUCCCUACAUUUUGCAAUUUAAAGAGGCUUGGGUUGAGAAGGCUAGAGAAAGCACACUGUUUCAAUUGUUAUAUUGCAGUAAGCAAUAAUGUAAUUUCUGCUGUAAACUAGAGUUUGUUGGAUUGUAACAUUUUUCUUUUUGGCUAUGUAUGUUUUUUGGUUGUAUUGUAGGGUUGCUAUGUUUGCAUUGUUACUGGAUACGUGAAGAUGGAGACAUGUGAGUGUAUUGGAUAAUACCUGUGAAGUGUGAAGUCCUAGUGUCAUGUGAAGUUCAUGGGUGGUGUAUGUCCAAUUACAUACUAUUUUGUUAUGUUUGUUUUCUCUUUAAAUACUUAAUAGGGCUGCAUUGAUGAAAAAAUCAAUCGGGGUUUACUUUCCUGA